CCUGAAGGAACGUUGAAGACGACGACGUUGAUAGGUCGGGUGUGUAAGCGCAGCGAUGCGUUGAGCUAACCGAUACUAAUGAACCGUGAGGCUUAACCUUACAACGCCGAAGC
rnacentral:rRNA from 1 species